AUUGAACGCUGGCGGCAUGCUUUACACAUGCAAGUCGAACGGCAGCGCGGGCUUCGGCCUGGCGGCGAGUGGCGAACGGGUGAGUAAUACAUCGGAACGUGCCCAGUAGUGGGGGAUAGCUCGGCGAAAGCCGGAUUAAUACCGCAUACGACCUGAGGGUGAAAGCGGGGGAUCUUCGGGCCUCGCGCUAUUGGAGCGGCCGAUGGCAGAUUAGCUAGUUGGUGGGGUAAAGGCCUACCAAGGCGACGAUCUGUAGCUGGUCUGAGAGGACGACCAGCCACACUGGGACUGAGACACGGCCCAGACUCCUACGGGAGGCAGCAGUGGGGAAUUUUGGACAAUGGGCGAAAGCCUGAUCCAGCAAUGCCGCGUGUGUGAUGAAGGCCUUCGGGUUGUAAGGCACUUUUGGCGGGAACGAAAAGGACUGUGCCAAUACCACGGUUCGAUGACGGUACCCGCAGAAUAAGCACCGGCUAACUACGUG
rnacentral:rRNA from 1 species